rnacentral:lncRNA from 1 species
UUACCACUGGGCUACGUCUCGCCCCACAGAGGUAAAUAAAAGCAAUGUAAAGAAAUGUGUAAAAAUUACAAAUAUCACAGAUAGGUAAAAUUAAAAUUUAGAAUAAAAGUCAGUAUCACGUAUAAAUUGUAAUAUAGGUUCCGGGAAUAGAAAGGAUUCCAUUACAUUUCUUUGUCCAAAUAUAUCUUUUCUAGUUUCUUUAAGAUGAUUGCACUCCACCAAAAUGUGGUGCACCGUCAGACUCAAACAAUAAAGUCAAUCUUAUCAUUAAUGUUUGGUAUAUAUUUGUAGUAGAAACACGUUAAAGAAAGGUAUGAACAAUCAAAUAUAAAGUUUAAAGGCGCAGACGCUAGUUUCAACCCGUGAAAAUUGACGCUAUGUAUCUGUGCUGUUUAAAAGGGGAAAUAUCGUCCAGAAGCAGACUAGAGCUUGUUUCGAUAACCAUUACGUGUUAGACGAACGUACGUCUUUAGAAUGAUGAAUUUUCGGGUAUUAAAAAGCUUGGAUGACCAGAACCACUUCUAAAUACUAAAAUACCAGAACACGUGCAUGUACUUCUAAUUUAAAUGAUCAAAAACGGCUUUAAUAGUGAACGAUAUGUCGUAGUGUUUAAAAACUAGGUUCUGUCACAUUAAUAGGAUAAACUAACGAAAGAAAUAUAUAUUCAAACUCCAUGAGCAGAUGAUAUUCUUCACUAUGUGUAAGCAUUGCUGUUUUUCUUUUACAAAUCGUAAAUUUUAUUAUUCUAAAACAUUUUACACAUAAAAUAUUUCGUUAAAAAUGUCAAUUCAUUUAUAAUCUGUUAAAAGAUUAAAUUAAUUUAAAUUCUUCUCUUAAAUGAAACUUUUUCAAUCGCCUUUUGAUGACUUUUAAAAAAAUGUCUAGUGUCACGUAAAUUCUCAAUGGAACCUGUCUGUGCUCGGGUAGCACCGUCAGUAGCAUGUGAAUCGCCAUCAGUCGUGAAAUAACCAAUGUUCAGUUUGUCUUCGUCCACUUAAAAUUCAUUCACGCAUUUUUCUGCAUAUAAGCCCUCAUUGCCGAUGGAAUCUGUUGUCUUGUAAUUUCCUAUCCUGUCUGUUUAUGUACACUGUUUUGGAUCCAACAUAAUUGGCUGAAUUAUGCAUUCCACGCUUGCUUCCAACAGGGAUACCAGCUGUGGAUAAGGAAUCGCGAAAUCCUGUAAUUCCAACUGAUGUAUUCAUAAGGCCAACAUGUAUCCCAAUAUUAGGCUGAGCAGCUUUCUGACCUCGUGCAGUGUGUAAAGUGACUUCUUCGUACAAUUUGUGCUUCUUCGAUCUAAAAUGACAUAGCUCACAUUUUAAACCUAGGCGCCAACACAUACCCCAUUGUUGAUAGGACUGUUCGUCAUGAAUCGGUGACCACAUAUGAAGAUGCACCUCGACUCGUUGACGGCUUAGCCACUGCAUCAAAGUCUUCCCCGGACAGCCUGGUACAGGCCAAAUCAGACCCAUACAGUGACACUCCUCAAAGAGUUAUCUCCCCUUGACCAGUCGUCACCAUAUAACCAAGUGACUUUCGUGAAGUGCAAAAUAGAACUUUAUCCUGCCGUGAGUUUCAGAAAUAUUGUGUACACAAUUUUUAAUGUAAAAUGUAUCAUACGUCUAUGACACGCAGACGAACAGACAGUCACGCAGAUACAAAUAUAGAGCAGGGGUGGGAAUCUCCUCGGAUCAGCUGUUUUCCUCUCAUGGAACAUUGCCUUUCUUCACAUUUUAAUCGUCCUUUCCUCCAAAAUGUGUCAGAUGGCACAGGUUUUAACCUAGGAUUUCAAGAAUUUCCGGAACCCCUCUAGAUUUCCUCUUGUUUUACAGUUCACCAAUUCCCACCCCUGAUAGAGACAAGCAGACACAUACACAGUCACACCCAUACUUUUGACUCUGUCGUCCGCAGAGAUACGUUUUUGAAAGUGCUGAAGCUUUGUCGACCAGACUAGGUAUACAUUCUCCAACAUCUUGAAUUAGCUCUUGGAUCAUUUUAAAAUUGGAACGUGCGAAAAACCCCACAUUUUCAGGUUGAUAUUGGAGCAUUACCAUUAGCGGCCCAGGCUGAUACUGAAGUAUUACCACAAGCGACCGGGCAGUAACUGGAAUAUUACCACAAGCGGCCCAGGCUCAUACUGGAACAUUACCACAAGCGACCCGGGCUGAUAUUGGAUCAUUAUCACAAGCGGCCCAGGCUGAUACUGGAAUAUUACCACAAGUGACCCAGGCUCAUACUUGAACAUUACCACUAGCGGCCAGGCUGAUACUGGAACAUUACCACAAGCGGCCCAGGCUCAUUCUGGAACAUUACACAAGAGGCCCAGGCUCAUACUGGAACAUUACACAAGCGGCCCAGGCUCAUACUGGAACAUUACAACAAGCGGCCCAGGCUGAUACUGAAACAUUACCACAAGCGGCCCGGGCUGAUACUGGAACAUUACAAGAUAUUUAGUGUAUGUUUGUACUUUAUUUAUGAAGCAGCUAUGCUUCCUAUUGACCUGAAAAUCCCUACCUGAUAAUUCGCAGUGAUAUAAUGUCACUAGGAAAUGAGUUGUGCGCAUGACAAAUGUUAGCUCCAUUUUCCGGUAGAUCGUUUUCUCAUUUUUCAAACACCUAUUUACAGCAAUAUUUGUUGAACUGCAUAAAUAAAUAUAACAUUUACACUUCCUGUAACAUCAAAUUACCUCAUAUUUUUCAAGUCUGCAUUAUUCGCUCCCAUUCGGAACUAGUUAGCGUUUUUAUUUAAACAUUUUGAAACAAAACCGCAAGUUGCUUCCUGCAAAUAAUGUUUACAUUUGGGAACAGCGUAUGACAUCACCGUCACUAACAGCCAGUGAUGUAGAUCUUCUUCAGUUCACACAUAAACUUGAGUUUAUUUUCACAGAAAAAGGUACAAAAAUUGUAAUGUGACACAACAGACUUUGAAAUAUAAUCAAAGUAUUUUAUUUAAAAUUUGAGAAACACAUAACGUUUAGGCUGGCAAUGCCACUCCCAUGAUGCUUUUGGGCACCUGCUAUUGUCCGACUUCCGGAAGUAGUUUUUACACGAUAAAACUAAUAGUUUCUAUACCGCUUUUGUAUAAAUACUAUAUAUAAUAGAAAAAAGAAUAGGAUUUUUUAGAAUUAAUAAAUUUGGAUUUAGAAAUUGAUUGUUCCCCUCCC